rnacentral:rRNA from 1 species
GACGAACGCUGGCGGCGUGCUUAACACAUGUAAGUCGAACGGAAAGGCCCUGCUUUUGUGGGGUGCUCGAGUGGCGAACGGGUGAGUAACACGUGAGUAACCUGCCCUUGACUUUGGGAUAACUUCAGGAAACUGGGGCUAAUACCGGAUAGGAGCUCCUGCUGCAUGGUGGGGGUUGGAAAGUUUCGGCGGUUGGGGAUGGACUCGCGGCUUAUCAGCUUGCUGGUGGGGUAGUGGCCUACCAAGGCGGCGACGGGUAGCCGGCCUGAGAGGGUGACCGGCCACAUUGGGACUGAGAUACGGCCCAGACUCCUACGGGAGGCAGCAGUGGGGAAUAUUGCACAAUGGGCGCAAGCCGGAUGCAGCAACGCCGCGGGCGGGAUGACGGCCUUCGGGUUGUAAACCGCUUUCAGCAGGGACGAAGCUUUUUGUGACGGUACCUGCAGAAGAAGCACCGGCUAACUACGUG